rnacentral:rRNA from 1 species
UAGUUUGAUCCUGGCUCAGGACGAACGCUGGCGGCGCGCUUAACACAUGCAAGUCGAGCGAGAACCGGGGCUUCGGCCCCGGGGACAGCGGCGAACGGGUGAGUAACACGUGGGUAACCUACCCUCGGCACCGGGAUAGCCCGGGGAAACUCGGAUUAAUACCGGAUGGCCCCUCCGACCUUCGGGUCGAUCGGGAAAGGUAGCUUCGGCCUCCGGCCGAGGAUGGGCCCGCGGCGGAUUAGCUUGUUGGUGGGGUAACGGCCCACCAAGGCUCCGAUCCGUAGCUGGUCUGAGAGGACGAUCAGCCACACUGGGACUGAGACACGGCCCAGACUCCUACGGGAGGCAGCAGUGGGGAAUCUUGCGCAAUGGGCGAAAGCCUGACGCAGCGACGCCGCGUGAGGGAAGAAGGCCUUCGGGUUGUAAACCUCUUUCAGGAGGGACGAAGCUACUCGGGUUAAUAGCCCAGAGGGUGACGGUACCUCCAGAAGAAGCCCCGGCUAACUACGUGCCAGCAGCCGCGGUAAUACGUAGGGGGCAAGCGUUGUCCGGAUUUACUGGGCGUAAAGCGCGUGUAGGCGGCCGAGCAGGUCUGUUGUGAAAACUGGAGGCUCAACCUCUAGACGUCGACAGAAACCGCGCGGCUAGAGUCCGGAAGAGGAGAGUGGAAUUCCUGGUGUAGCGGUGAAAUGCGC